UGGCAGGUACAGCGGGAAGCCACCUGGCGACAGGGAGCGGAACCCGAAAGCCUGUCUCAGUUCGGAUUGGAGUCUGCAACCCGACUCCAUGAAGCUGGAUUCGCUAGUAAUCGCGCAUCAGCCACGGCGCGGUGAAUACGUUCCCCGGGCCUUGUACACACCGCCCGUCAAGCCAUGGAAGCCGGGGGUGCCUGAAGUGCGCUGCCGCAAGGAGCGCCCUAGGGUAAAACCGGUGACUGGGGCUAAGUCGUAACAAGGUAGC
rnacentral:rRNA from 1 species